GCCGGGCGCGGUGGCGGGCGCCUGCAGUCCCAGCUACUCGGGAGGCUGAGGCAGGAGAAUGGCGUGAACCCGGGAGGCAGAGCUUGCAGUGAGCCGAGAUAGCACCACUGCAGUCCGGCCUGGGAGAAAGAGUGAGACUCCGUCUCAAUAAUAAUAAUAAUAAUUUUUUUUAUUGAUAGAUAUAUUUUUUGAGACAGAGUUUUGCUCUAGUUGCCCAGGCUGGAGUGCAAUGGCACGACCUCGGCUCACUGCAACCUCUGCCUCCUGGGUUCAAGUGAUUCUCCUGC
rnacentral:SRP_RNA from 10 species